GUCGGGAUGGCGGAACUGGCAGACGCGUACGUUUGAGGGGCGUAUGGGAGACCGUGUGGGUUCAAGUCCCACUCUCGACACCA
rnacentral:tRNA from 1 species